rnacentral:rRNA from 2 species
GGACUACUGGGGUAUCUAAUCCUGUUUGCUCCCCACGCUUUCGUGCCUGAACGUCGGUGCUGGACCAGGAAGCCGCUUUCGCCACUGGUGUUCCUUCCGAUAUCUACGCAUUUCACCGCUACACCGGAAAUUCCGCUUCCCUCUUCCGCACCCUAGCUAUGCAGUCUCGAAUGGCAUUCCCAGGUUGAGCCCGGGGCUUUCACACCCGACUUACAUAACCGUCUACGCACGCUUUACGCCCAGUAAUUCCGAUUAACGCUCGCACCCUCUGUAUUACCGCGGCUGCUGGCAC